rnacentral:lncRNA from 1 species
AGUGCUUCCCUACCUCAUCGCCGUCUCCCCUCACGGUACUUCAGCCCACUGUCCCCACCGUUCCUGGGGCUCGCCAGGCGCCCUCUCCCCCGCCCGCUGCCCGGUGCAGCGCUCUCCCGACGCCCGCGUGGCUUUCUUCCAGGUCUUUGCUCAAAUGUCAGCUUACAAGGUCUUCUCUGCUGCCCUCCUGCUCCGUGGCACUGAUUCCCUCCCGAUGCACUGUCAGGUCAGCUGCGCAGCAAAGGGAUUUUUGGACCCGCAGCAGCGCCUGACACACAGCAGGCAUUCCCUCAGCGCUGCGGAAUACAGGCAGACCCGGGGCUCAGGGCGCUGUCUGGGCCUCACUGGGACCCGUGGGGUCAGACAGAGGCUGAGGUCUGUGGGUUGUGGCCUUGUUUCCAAGAUGCUCCACGGGCUGACGGCCCAGGCGCCUCUCGGGUGCGGAGAAGGCAGGAAACCUAACCCCUGCUUCCAAAUUUAAUCAGUAGAAACGGUAUCAUCACCCAGCACAGGCCAGGAUCAUUUCUGAGGUUAGUUCUGGCCCAAUCAUGCAUGCAUUUCUUUUUUCUUUUUUUUUUUGAGACGGAGUCUCACUCUGUCACCCAGGCUGGGGUGCAAUGGCCCGAUCUCGGCUCACUGCAACCUCCGCCUGCCGAGGGUUCAAGCGAUUCUCCCGCCUCAGCCUCUCGAGUAGCUAGGACUAGAGGCACCCGCCACCACACCGGCUAAUUUUUGUAUUUUUAGUAGAAACGGGGUUUCACUAUAUUUGGCCAGGCUGGUCUUGAACUCCUGACCUCGUGAUCCGCCCGCCUCGGCCUCCCAAAGUGCUGGGAUUACAGGCAUGAGCCACCGCGCCCGGCCUCAUGCGUGUAUUUCUUUCUUCACUCAACACUCAUUGAGCAACUACUGCACACCAGACCCUAUGCUGAAUGCACGCAGAUACCCCCAGUCCCAUGAGAUUGGACAGGAGCGUGGAACUCAAGGGUGACUCUGGCUCUGCCUGGGGAAAGAGAGAGAGGGCUUCCGAGGGGCAGACCAAGCCCAGGUGGACCACGUCCCAGGCAGACCAAGCCCAGGUGGACCACGUCCCAGGCAGACCAAGCCCAGGCGGACCACGUCCCAGGCGGACCACGUCCCAGGCGGACCACGUCCCAGGCGGACCAAGCCCAGGCGGACCACGUCCCAGGCGGACCACGUCCCAGGCGGACCAAGCCCAGGUGGACCACGUCCCAGGCGGACCACGUCCCAGGCGGACCAAGCCCAGGUGGACCACGUCCCAGGCGGACCAUGUCCCAGGCAGACCACGUCCCAGGCAGACCAAGCCCAGGCGGACCACGUCCCAGGCAGACCACGUCCCAGGCGGACCAAGCCCAGGUGGACCACGUCCCAGGCAGACCAAGCCCAGGCAGACCACGUCCCAGGUAGACCUAGUGGUUGUGUAUUCACUUCUCCCAACCCCCCUGGGAAGAAAUAACUGCAGCUGGCCCCAUUGCACCAAUGAGGAAACUGAGGCCCAGGGAGGAAGCCGAUUGCCUGAGGCGGCAGCUUUGGGACUGGACUGUGGCUGCCUCCUGAGGAAGGAAACAGUUCCUCCCUCCACCCUCAUCCUGGCAGGGGUUGGGCCACCGUUGCUUCAUCAAGUGUCGUGGAGCCUCCGCUCUGUGCCAGGAGCGGGGCCUGUGCCACAAACGUCUGCUGAAACCAGCCAUCCACCCAACAGUAUCGAGCACCAUGAUCGGAAGAGUAAAGGCCCCAAACUGGGCCAGGGGCGGUGGCUCAUUCCCGUAAUCCCAGCACUUUGGAAGGCUGAGGCGGGUGGAUCAUUUGAGGUCAGGAGUUCGAGGCUAGUCUGGCCAAAAUGGUGAAACCCAUCUCUACUAACAAAAAAAAAAAAAAAAAAAAAAAAAUGGCCGGGUGCAGUGGCUCAUGCCUGUAAUCCCAGCACUUUGGAAGGCCGAGGUGGGUGGAUCAUCUGAAGUUGGGACUUCGAGACCAGCCUGACCAACAUGGAGAAACCCUGUCUCUACUAAAAAUACAAAGUUAACCAGGCAUGGUAGCAGGCAUCUGUAAUCCCAGCUACUCGGGAGGCUGAGGCAGGGGAAUCGCUUGAAUCUGGGAGGCAGAAGUUGCAGUGAGCCAAGAUCUUGCCAUUUCACUCCUGCCUAGGCAACAAGAGCAAAACUCCAUCUUGUUAAAAAAAAAAAACUAGCCGGGCAUGGUGGUGCCUGCCUGUAAUCCCAGGUACUCGGGAGGCUGAGGCAUGAAAAUCACUUGAACCCGGGAGCAGAGGUUGCAGUAAGCUGAGAUUGCACCACUCCACUCCAGCCUGAGAGACAGAGUGAGUGAGAGACUUCACCUCAAAAUAAAUAAAUAAAGUCCCCAAACACACUUGAUUUUAGCCCAGCAAGACUCAUGUCUGUUGCGGGAAGUCAGGGACCCCGAACGGAGGGACCGCCUGGAGCUGUGGCAGAGGAACAUAAAUUGUGAAGAUUUCAUUUUAAUAUGGACAUUUAUCAGUUCCCAAAUUAAUACUUUUAUAAUUUCUUACGCCUGUCUUACUCUCAUCUCUUAAUCCUGUUAUCUUCGUAAGCUGAGGAUGUAUGUCACCUCAGGACCACCGUGAUAAUUGUGUUAACUGUACAAAUUGAUUGUAAAACGUGUGUUUGAACAAUAUGAAAUCAGUGCACCUUGAGAAAAAACAGAAUAACAGCGAUUUUAGGGAACAAGGGAAGACAACCAUAAGGUCUGACUGCCUGCAGGGUCAGGCAAAAAAAGCCAUAUUUUUCUUCUUGCAGAGAGCCUAUAAAAGGACAUGCAAGUAGGGAGGAUAUCGCUAAAUUCUUUUCCUAGCAAGCAAUAUUAAUAUUAAUACCCUGGGAAAGGAAUGCAUUCCUGGGGAGAGGUCUAUAAACAGCUGCUCUGGGAAUGUCUGUCUUACGUGGUUGAGAUAAGGACUGAGAUACGCCCUGAUCUCCUGCAGUACCCUCAGGCUUACUACGGUGGGGAAAAACUCCACCCUGGUGAAUUUGUGGUCAGACGUUUCCCUAUUUUUUGUUCAAGAUGUUUAUCAAGAUAAUACGUGCACCGCUGAACAUGGACCCUUAUCAGUAGUUCUGUGUUGCCUUUUCUCCUGUUCCCUCAGAAGCAAGUGAUCUUUGUUCUGUUUUUUGCCCUUUGAAGCAUGAGCUCUACUCCAUGUUCUCACACCCCCUCCCCUCUUGAAACCCUUAAUAAAAAACUUGCUGGUUUAAGGCUCAGGGGGCAGCACGAUCCUACCGACAUGCGACGUCACCCCCCGGCGGCCCAGCUGUAAAAUUCC